UCCUCCCCUUCUGCGCGCCCCAGCGAUUCCGUGCGGGUUCGCCCAACCGGUGAGCUCGCGGGAGCUAACGCGCAGGCGCACAUCUAAGAGGGCGCCGCACAAAUGGCGGGGUGGCCUCAAAGGACGCAUGCGGAACACGGCCCGCCCUAGGCCUUCGCGAGAUUAGUCGCGCUGACUCAAUUUAAUCUUGACCCCUAUUCCUCCAUUUUGGUUCUCUCCCCGGCGCCGGGGAAGGGGCGUGGUCUAGAAUUAGCCCCUCCUGCGUGGGCGUGGCCUGGAUGGGCUACGGGAAGUGGCCGGUCAGACCAAAUUCCAAGUUACUACUCCUUCUCCCCCCUGCUUUGAAGGACCUUAAAAUCUUUGGCAAACAGUUAUUUACAGGUGGGGACAGCACCCCUAAACCGAGUGUGGGUGACGUCCGCCAAGGCCCGCCUCCCUCCUCCCGGCCUAUAGGAGCCGGGCGAGCAACGUUACCAUAGCAACGGGCCCACCGGGACCUGCUCGAGUUACAAGAAGGACGCGGGCUCCCGUGGGCAAAGCAUCCGGCGACCAUAGGCGUCGCCCAGCCUUCCGAAGAGCUCCAAGACUUGGCGGACGCUAAGCACGGCUGAGAUGCAUCGCUGCCUCGUGGCCUCCAGCAGUAAGAAAGAAGACAAAGCACUGAGCUCCUGCACGCGCCUACCAACUCCCGGUCCCGGAGACGAGAUGUGGACGUCCCAAAGCAUGAUGCUAGUCCUAGAGGCUCUCACCCCAAGUCACUGGGCCUUUUUACUUCUAAAGAUUUCCCUCUAAGGGAAGUCUCCAAAAUCCCACUUCCAUUUCUAAAGCUUCCAUUUCCAAUGCAGAGCUGGCCUUAAGCAGCAAUUUCAAACUAGAUUCCGAAAAGCUAUUUUCCAGGGGAUGACCUCCUCACCCUGGUCCCCAGGAUACAGUAUCAAAUGUACUUUCUCAACUCCUUUCCCCUACAAAUGAGGGUCUGUCUGCUUAUCUGUAACAGAGAUGUAACUAUGUCACAAAGUGGCUGCAUUAAUAAGUGGAAUAAAUACUCCCACACUGAGGAAGAUGCAUGUAUAUUCAAUAAAUAAUUGUUUCUGGU